rnacentral:lncRNA from 1 species
AUAUGGUUAAAUUUAGGGUUAAGGUGGGGUUAGAGUAUUUUUGUGUUUGGUUGGGGGGUUGGAGUUAGUCCAGGAUAGUGAAAAAUAGUGUUUGGUUGGAGUAGGUGGGAUAAGAAGGAUAGUGGGUUAUUAUGAAUAGAAAAUAGUGUUUGGUUGGGGUUUGGUGGGGUUAGGUGGGGUUAGCUAAUCCGGGAUAACCCAUUUAAGAUGGGGUUAGCUAACCCCACCCAUUUUUAGAAGUGUUUGGGGAUAAAAUAGGGAAGUGUUUGGGGAUAAAAUGGGGGUUAAGGGUUAUUCCACCCCUUAACCCCUAACCAAACGGAGGCUAAAA